AAAACAGAGCUUACAGUCGCUUUAUGUAAAUAAAGAGGAAAGUCCGGGCUCCAUAGGGUAUGAUGCCGGCUAACAGCCGGGCUGUGUUUUUAUACAGAUGGAUAGUGCAACAGAAAAUAUACCGCCAUUUUAUGGUAAGGGUGAAAAGGCAGGGUAAGAGCCUACCGCAUACGAUGGUAACAUUGUAUGGCAGUGUAAACCCCAUCAGGAGCAAUGCCAAGCAGAAGGUUAACGACCCGUUAUUAAGCCUUCGGGUAGGCAGCUUGAUACAUACAGUAAUGUAAUGUACAGAUAGAUGACUGUUUUAAACAGAACCCGGCUUAUAUGCUCUGUUUUUCUU
rnacentral:RNase_P_RNA from 6 species